rnacentral:rRNA from 1 species
CAGUCGCCGCGGGAAUACGGAGGGUGCAAGCGUUAAUCGGAAUUACUGGGCGUAAAGCGCACGCAGGCGGUCUGUCAAGUCAGAUGUGAAAUCCCCGGGCUUAACCUGGGAACUGCAUUUGAAACUGGCAGGCUAGAGUCUUGUAGAGGGGGGUAGAAUUCCAGGUGUAGCGGUGAAAUGCGUAGAGAUCUGGAGGAAUACCGGUGGCGAAGGCGGCCCCCUGGACAAAGACUGACGCUCAGGUGCGAAAGCGUGGGGAGCAAACAGGAUUAGAUACCCGUGUAGUCCCUGUCUCUUAUAC